rnacentral:lncRNA from 1 species
UACUGGGUCUGCGCCACCUUUCAAUGAAUCUUUUUCACGCUAACUUGGGCCACUGCGUAUGUUCUCCAAUCAGGUGCCGCUUACUCAUCGGCAUAUAGCAUGUGGGUCUGAGCUCAUUCGAAUUUAGACUCAUUAAAAUUCUCUUUAGCCGGGCUUAAUAUGACUCAAGUAAUGUUCUGAGUUUUUGUGAACCGACUAAUGAGCUAGUUUGGCGAUCAACGCACUAAAGACAAACGGAUGUUUCUAGGUUAAAUACGACCCGUGGUUAUGAUUUUGGUUGUCUUGAUGUUGCAGGUACAACUCAUAUCUAUAUAUAUUUAUUCUCUUAUGCACGCAGAAUUCGAAGUGAAAGCAGUACUGGAAUAUCAAGACUCUACAAAGAACUGUUCCGUUGUUAGGUAUGAGCAGUGGAAUUACGGUAAAGUGAGGCAACGAACAAAUCU